rnacentral:rRNA from 1 species
AUGAACGCUGGCGGCGUGCCUCAUCCAUGCCAGUCGAGCGAACAGACGAGGAGCUUGCUCCUCUGACGUUAGCGGCGGACGGGUGAGUAACACGUGGAUAACCUACCUAUAAGACUGGGAUAACUUCGGGAAACCGGAGCUAAUACCGGAUAAUAUAUUGAACCGCAUGGUUCAAUAGUGAAAGACGGUUUUGCUGUCACUUAUAGAUGGAUCCGCGCCGCAUUAGCUAGUUGGUAAGGUAACGGCUUACCAAGGCGACGAUGCGUAGCCGACCUGAGAGGGUGAUCGGCCACACUGGAACUGAGACACGGUUCAGACUCCUACGGGAGGCAGCAGUAGGGAAUCUUCCGCAAUGGGCGAAAGCCUGACGGAGCAACGCCGCGUGAGUGAUGAAGGUCUUCGGAUCGUAAAACUCUGUUAUUAGGGAAGAACAAAUGUGUAAGUAACUAUGCACGUCUUGACGGUACCUAAUCAGAAAGCCACGGCUAACUACGUG